UAAAAACAAGGAUGCUCAAUACAACAAAGAUAAUGUGAUCAGCCAAAGAACAUUUCAAUCCCCAUCUGUCGCCAAAAAUGUAUCUUAAAUUCAUUCUUGGUGAUCCGACAAGUAUGUUAAAUAAAAAGACUUCACUGAAAGCCAUAGGCAUGUUUUCCCACUUCUUUAAAAAGUGCUUGAUUCCUUUUCCGCAAGCCUUGACACAUUGUGCCAAGAAAAUUGCAGUCACCUUUACACAUUUCGCCAAGGAAAUUACAGUUACUUUAACUGCCUUGGUCCAAGUUUCAUAGAAGUCUAAUGAAUUAGUGACUGAAGGUAAGAAUAACCCCAUUGUCUCACUUACAAGUCAAGAAUAUUAAAGCCAAAGUGCAAACAAGACACCAAAAUCCAAAUAAUGUCCAUUCCGCUGCACCAUAAUUUUUAAAAAAAGCGUCCUUAUACUUUAGAUAACAAACUUCUGGAGCAUUGAAUAGAAUGAUUGAAGUGAAUGAUAUUAGCAGUAUUAUCAACAAAGGGGAAGAAUUAUCUGUCGUCCCAUAAGAAUGGUUUUCUCUAUGUGUGUUAGGAGGAUUAUUUACAAGUGCAUGAUCUGUUUAAAUUAAUAUAAUGAAAUACUUUAGUAAAGAAAGAGCAUGUAUCAAAUUGUGUGCAUUGCAUGGCCGACUGUAAACAAUGACCAAAGCAUGCAAUUUGACAAGAUGGCAAGUU